CAAAAAUUCGCCUGCAAAAAUUCAACUGCAAAAGUGAUGACCUUAAAUGACCCAAGCCAGAGCAAUCAGCACUAGAUCGAGUCGAGCGGCUCUCAGCCAAUUAAAUUACGCUGUUUGAUCACAUGACACAGUUAGCCGGCAGUGUCUUCUGAAAAGAUAGCUGUUUAGAGAGGCAGUUUUGAAUUCAGGAGCGGCAAGAUGGCAGCGGCAAACCCUGGCGGUUCUCCGGGUUCGUGGCAACCACGGAUGGGAAAAUGUGGAGGUUGCACGGCUGAUGUUUACUGUUCGUGGCACAGGAAGAGGCAGUUUCAUUUCAGGAAUGAGUGUGCACAAUCAAAGAAUAGAGCGACUGUGGAGAGACCUCUGGGUGGCCGUUACAUGCAUUUACUACGAUGUUCUUCACAACCUUGAGGAAGAAGGCCUUCUUGACAUUUCAAAUGCUGCACACCUCUUUUGCUGCCAUUACGUCUUUCUUCCUCGACUGGAGGAUGAUUUUAAUACAUUUUGCAGUGGAUGGGACAGAAAACAACAUGAGUCCCAACCAGCUGUGGGAGUUGGGUCACAGAUAUCACCCUGUUCCUGUUCCAGAAAACACACAGCUUAUCACACAUUUGAUUUCCAUGUGUGACGACUGCAAGU